rnacentral:tRNA from 1 species
GGGCGUGUAGCUCAGGUGGUUAGAGCGCGACACUGAUAAUGUCGAGGUCCCUGGUUCGAGUCCAGGCACGCCCACCA